rnacentral:tRNA from 1 species
GCGGCCUGGUAGUUCAGUUGGUUAGAAUGCCAGCCUGUCACGCUGGAGGUCGAGGG